rnacentral:misc_RNA from 1 species
CAGAGUUAUCUAACUCCCAAACCCAUGUGAACUUACCAGUGUUGCCUCGGCGGGUCUCUGACCUCCGAAAGGUGGUUAGGGGUACCACCCGCCGAAGGUUAUUACCAAACUCUUGAAUUACUUUGUAAUCUGAGUGUUAUUUUAAAAAUAAGUUA